rnacentral:rRNA from 1 species
UACAGAGGGUGCAAGCGUUAAUCGGAAGUACUGGGCGUAAAGCGCGCGUAGGUGGGUCGUUAAGGUGGAUGUGAAAUCCCCGGGCUCAACCUGGGAACUGCAUUCAAAACUGUCGAGCUAGAGUAUGGUAGAGGGUGGUGGAAUUUCCUGUGUAGCGGUGAAAUGCGUAGAUAUAGGAAGGAACACCAGUGGCGAAGGCGACCACCUGGACUGAUACUGACACUGAGGUGCGAAAGCGUGGGGAGCAAACAGG